UGGCUCUUGCAUCGAUGAAGAACGCAGCGAAAUGCGAUACGUAAUGUGAAUUGCAGAAUUUAGUGAAUCAUCGAAUCUUUGAACGCAUAUUGCACUCUUUGGUAUUCCGAAGAGUAUGCCUGUUUCAGUAUCAGAAGUACCAUCGAAAUCUCUCUUCUUUUUUGGUCGAGAUUUUCGGAUCUGGGUCUCGUAUGUUCUUUCUCUCCGGGGAGAGACUUUUUGUUGAGCAUACUGGCCUGAAAUUUAAUCACGAUCUAGUUCAGGUGAACAUCCAAAGAUCCUUCCAAUAAGGCAUCAUAGUUGACCGUGGUCAUCUUUUUGCUGUGGGUUUCGAGGGUGCUGGGCAUUUUUCGCGCAAAUUGCAAAUUGCAAAAAUUUUUCAAUUUGAUCUGAAAUCAGGCAGGAUCACCCGCUGA
rnacentral:misc_RNA from 1 species